rnacentral:rRNA from 1 species
CCUACGGGAGGCAGCAGUGGGGAAUAUUGGGCAAUGGAGGAAACUCUGACCCAGCGACGCCGCGUGCGGGAUGAAGGCCUUCGGGUUGUAAACCGCUUUCAGCAGGGAAGAAGCGAAAGUGACGGUACCUGCAGAAGAAGCACCGGCUAACUAUGUGCCAGCAGCCGCGGUAAUACAUAGGGUGCAGGCGUUGUCCGGAAUUAUUGGGCGUAAAGAGCUCGUAGGUGGUUCGUCACGUCGGAUGUGAAAAUCUGGGGCUUAACCCCAGACCUGCAUUCGAUACGGGCGAGCUUGAGUAUGGUAGGGGAGUCUGGAAUUCCUGGUGUAGCGGUGGAAUGCGCAGAUAUCAGGAGGAACACCAAUGGCGAAAGGCAGGACUCUGGGCCAUUACUGACACUGAGGAGCGAAAGCGUGGGGAGCGAACAGGAUUAGAUACCCUGGUAGUCCACGCCGUAAACGGUGGGCACUAGUUGUGGGGACCUUCCACGGUCUCUGCGACGCAGCUAACGCAUUAAGUGCCCCGCCUGGGGAUACGAUCGCAAGNUUAAAACUCAAAGGAAUUGACGGCUGAGACGNGCGAGACGACGACGAGGAGAG